UACGAAGGGACCUAGCGUAGUUCGGAAUUACUGGGCUUAAAGAGUUCGUAGGUGGUUGAAAAAGUUGGUGGUGAAAUCCCAGAGCUUAACUCUGGAACUGCCAUCAAAACUUUUCAGCUAGAGUAUGAUAGAGGAAAGCAGAAUUUCUAGUGUAGAGGUGAAAUUCGUAGAUAUUAGAAAGAAUACCAAUUGCGAAGGCAGCUUUCUGGAUCAUUACUGACACUGAGGAACGAAAGCAUGGGUAGCGAAGAGGAUUAGAUACCCUCGUAGUCCAUGCCGUAAACGAUGUGUGUUAGACGUUGGAAAUUUAUUUUCAAUGUCGCAGCGAAAGCGAUAAACACACCGCCUGGGGAGUACGACCGCAAGGUUAAAACUCAAAUGAAUUGACGGGGACCCGCACAAGUAGUGGAGCAUGUGGUUUAAUUCGAAGAUACGCGCAGAACCUUACCAACACUUGACAUGUUCGUCGCGACUCUAAGAGAUUAGAGUUUUCGGUUCGGCCGGACGAAACACAGGUGCUGCAUGGCUGUCGUCAGCUCGUGUCGUGAGAUGUUGGGUUAAGUCCCGCAACGAGCGCAACCCUCACUUUUAGUUGCCAUCAUUAAGUUGGGCACUCUGAAAGAACUGCCAGUGAUAAGCUGGAGGAAGGUGGGGAUGACGUCAAGUCCUCAUGGCCCUUACGUGUUGGGCUACACACGUGCUACAAUGGUAUCUACAACAGGAAGCAAGACUGCGAAGUUAAGCAAAUCCCUAAAAGAUACCUCAGUUCGGAUUGCACUCUGCAACUCGAGUGCAUGAAGCUGGAAUUACUAGUAAUCGUGGAUCAGCGUGCCACGGUGAAUGCGUUCCCGGGUCU
rnacentral:rRNA from 1 species